rnacentral:tRNA from 1 species
UGGGGCGUCGUCUAAUGGCAGGACGUCAGACUUUGAAUCUGAUUAUCAAGGUUCGAAUCCUUGCGCCCCAGCCACCU